CCGUUUCUAUUUUUUGCACCGCCAGUACACAGAAGCGUUUUAUAACGGUCUUUAUUGAUAAAUCGAUAUGUGGCCAUUGUUUAUUGCGUUUUGAAGAGCACUCGCUUCGUCUUUCCAACAAGACGCGUAGGUUCGACGCUCCGAUUUGCAUUUAAACUGUCGUCUUCUCGGAAGCAGGCACUCAUGCUUGGAGACCUGCAGAGCACAAACUGCAGCAUGUAUGCCGAAAUAAAUAACUAUUGCCUAUUUCAAAUAGAACCAAUGUAAGGUGUGGCGAGCCCGGGAGACAGCAAGAGCCGCAGGAGUCCUGGACUAAGGGCGCCUCCCACACAAGCAGAAAGACACCUGCUUUUCCUUUCUUUUCUGUAAUAAAUGUUUUUUCUUCUCCUCCUC